rnacentral:lncRNA from 1 species
UUUUGGUAGACAGUUGGAUAGUGUUUCUGAAAAAAAAAAGUUCAUUUCUUUCACUCUAGGAAUUCCAUAUUUAGCAAUUUAGAUAUAGUCUUCACUUACGAUGAUGUGCACGCAGCACUUUCUGUAGCAGAAAAUGAAAAUCACAACCGAAGCAAAUAGAAACCUCUAAAUUAGGUAUAGGUGCUGACCUUAUGAGGGAUCAGUCUGAAUUGGAGACACCCUGCCUUCGUGGCUUAUCUUCACAAAUAAGAAAUACUUGAAGCCAGGGAUGCCCAGACUGUCCUUUCGUCUUCUCAUACGUUGGUGGAAAGACUAUCUCCAGUGGACAGCAGAUACCUGGGGCUCAUUUUGCUGUUUUCAAAGUUCCUUUGUGAAAGGUAAGUGGAAGUUAAUUCAGGAUUCUUUCAGAAAUGUAAACUCCCCUGGUAGAAUGCCAGUUCUCAAUUAGGUUGCACUCCAUUUAGCCUUCUGAGAGUAAAGUGGCUGUGUGAUAUUAUGUUACUAACCAGGACUGAGUCUCACAGACCAGUAAGAUCUACCUUCAUGUAAUUUUAGGGAAAAAAAAC